rnacentral:lncRNA from 1 species
GCCUCUACUGGCUCUGAAUUUGAUUCACCAAUCAAAUUUAAUUCUGUGUAUGUCAGUCCUUCGACCUCAUGAACUUCAUCAAGUUCAAUUUUACAGACAUUAGCUCCUUCACUAAAGAACUCCUUUUCUAAAAAGAUGUCCGACUGCUGACAAAUACCUUUUGUUCUACAGCGAAGUAGAAGUAGUACCCUUUAGUUUUCUUUGAGUACCCUAUGAACAAGCAUCUGUCAGACUUCGAUUCAAGCUUAUCUAUCUUUAAACGCUUAACAUAAGCUGGACACCCUCAGACCCUAAGGUG